UCGUGCUAGACGGGGAGCUAGCGGUUCCCUCUGCCCGAAAUCCGCUAUAGCGGGGUCGAAAACCUGUCCGUGAGGUCGUCCAUGUCUGCGGCUGUGGCCGGGCAAAGGAUGUUGAUCGUCGGGUCCUGUGAAGCGAGGUCCCGUGAACCCCGUCAGGACCGGAAGGUAGCAGCGGUAAGCGGAUUCCUUCGUCUGUCGCGGGGUCGCCUGGCGGGAGUUCUUUCCCCGGAUUCUUCCCUGGCAUGGCGAUCGAAGGACAGGGCACGG
rnacentral:SRP_RNA from 1 species